UCCGCUUCUUUGUCCCUGCGUGUCCCUCUUUUCCAUUUUUCCUUCAUCCUCUUUGUAAAACAAGCGUCUUCUUUUCCUGAAAGCAACAGAGUCUGAAUUCUUCUGUUGAUGCUAAAGUAGAACUUGAAGUUUCUCUGGAUCUUCUGUUUGUCAUAUGACUUCUCCAGUCAAGUCUGAAUGCCCAGGCUAGCCAGUAUCAAUUUCAGCAUUGGCUCCAACAUUCCCAAAUCUCCACUCAUGGAGCAUUCUUCCUUCCUCAUUAGGUCAGAACAUGGUGCCAAAGGAGUGAAAGCCAUAACAGCCACCUUAAAAAUGUCUCACACUAACCACAAGGGGGAGUAGAUUAAAAAUAGCUGAAUUCAGGAAGAAGCCUGAGAAAAUAGAAGAGCUCUCCAUCCUGCCCAGAAGGUCAAGGACACACUUGGCAUCAUCAGCUCCACAUUCCUAAGGGGAGGAUGCUCCACCGAGAAUGCAAAGAAUGGCUUCUUGGUCUGGAUAAAACCACAGCUUCUGGGGCUGUAUUUCUGCUGACCCAUGGCAAGGCAGCAUGCAGCAGUUUAAGAAUAAUACUCUUUGAUGCUAUUCAGCCAUUUAACAGAAUCUUUGCUGACGUGGGAAAACAGUCCCCAGUAUGUUGUUAAGAGAAAAACAGGCACAAAGCUGUAAAUAUAAUGUGAUACGAUUUCUGUCAAGCAACGUAAGAUACAUGAAAAAAACAUUAUAAGGCUUUGCCAAACAUAAUAGAAGCCACCCACGUGCGACAGGAUUUGGGGUAACUUAUUUUCCUGUUUCUUUUGAGAUUUUCUUUGUUUUCCAAGUUUUCAGCAGCAUGUGUUAUUUCUAAAGUACAGAACAGUUAU